AUUGAACGCUGGCGGCAUGCCUUACACAUGCCAGUCGAACGGUAACAGGUCUUCGGACGCUGACGAGUGGCGGACGGGGGCGUAAUACAUCGGAACGUGCCCGAUCGUGGGGGAUAACGAGGCGAAAGCUUUGCUAAUACCGCAUACGAUCUACGGAUGAAAGCGGGGGAUCUUCGGACUUCGCGCGGACGGAGCGGCCGAUGGCAGAUUAGGUAGUUGGUGGGAUAAAAGCUUACCAAGCCGACGAUCUGUAGCUGGUCUGAGAGGAUGAUCAGCCACACUGGGACUGAGACACGGCCCAGACUCCUACGGGAGGCAGCAGUGGGGAAUUUUGGACAAUGGGCGAAAGCCUGAUCCAGCCAUGCCGCGUGCAGGAUGAAGGCCUUCGGGUUGUAAACUGCUUUUGUACGGAACGAAAAGCCUCUUUCUAAUAAAGAGGGGUCAUGACGGUACCGUAAGAAUAAGCACCGGCUAACUACGUG
rnacentral:rRNA from 1 species